rnacentral:misc_RNA from 1 species
UAGGCUUGACAUGCUAGUUAAAGCGGGUGAAAGCCCGUGUCCGUAAGGGGCUAGCACAGGUGCUGCAUGGCUGUCGUCAGCUCGUGUCGUGAGAUGUUGGGUUAAGUCCCGCAACGAGCGCAACCCCCGUCGCAUGUUGCCAGCAUUCAGUUGGGGACUCAUGCGAGACUGCCGGUGACAAACCGGAGGAAGGUGGGGAUGACGUUCGUCAGUCAA